rnacentral:lncRNA from 1 species
CAUUCCUUUAUGACAGCAAAAUUCAUUUCAUUUUCCUUUAUCUUUCAGAAAAAAAAAUAUAUAUAUAUAUAAAGCUCAGCUGAGGUAGGAAAGAAUUAUACAUUCCUAAAUCAUAUCAGAGUUCAAAAUGAAACAGCAGACUUUGAAGCCAACAUCCUUUGGUAUGAAAGAAGGUAGAAAAUCAAGAGAAUGGAGAAUAUUAAAUCUCUUGAAUAAAGUUGACAAGAUUGCAACUGUACCUAUGAGAUGAAUGAGGAAAUUUCUUCUACUGAUGCAGGCAUCACUUGCAAGAUGGAAAAGAUGAGAUUUAUUGUGGCAGAUGACUUGCAAAAAAGACUCCCUGUUCUCUAUGAUCCUCAAAGAUAUCUUCAAUGAAAAAAUGCUCUGAUAAAAAUUGGAUAGAUGCAAAAAAAGACAUACAGAUUUUUCCUUAUUGAUAAUCCCUCUAACUCACUUUCUGGAAUAAAAUGCCUGAGAUUUUUUCA